rnacentral:lncRNA from 1 species
GGCAAUUCAGGUUUGUACGAAGUUCGUUCUGAAACGGAGUGGUUGGUGUAUUGGAUAAUUUUAGCCAUUGGAUUUCGCUCAAAACUCGCCAAAUGACUCCUGAUAGGAUUUUUAGUACCUGUGUAAACAAGGUUAAAAUCACAUAGAAUACUUGCAAGAAUACAAGGCUAUUGUAGUAUAGAUGCUCAUGCAAGGUCGUUUUCCUCAAGGACCAAUUAGCAAUUUAAGUAAAAACAAAUUCCAAAAAAAACUACUUAAAAUAAAAGGUGAAGAAAGAUGAUUAUGAAUUUGGUUGAUUCUAAAAACAAAUAUUAAACAAAAACAAAUACGAUAGAAGGAAAGAGUUUUGAAUAUCAAUUUAUAAAAGCACUUACCAUCACCUAGCACUCCUAUGAACUUUUACCAAUUACUUAUGAUUUGCACAUGCCACUUUGAAGGUUAGGUUUUCCUAAUGUAUAUUCUACUUGGAACCUCCAACACAGAACGUAUAUCCAACAUGCAACCCGUCCGGACGUUCGGAUCAAAUCUGAACAUGAAAGACUCAUUAAGUUUUUGUGAAAACCCUAUGAAAAACCAUGCAACCCUUAAGACGUGGUGUUCAUCUUAAGUGAAAUUACAAUUAUUAAUCACAAGAAGCUAGCAUCAAUUUCAGGGAACCUUCCGACCAAAAUUGCAUCCAAUUACUUUUCUAAAGAUCCUAAUGGUGAUCAGGCAUUAAGACAAUUAGAUAGUUUAAAACAGUGAUUAACAAUUCAAGUAGGCAUGCACUCAUCAUAAGCAAUUAAAUAAAAAUCACAUAUUCAUGCUAAGGUUCAAGGCUUCACCCUAGCAAAAGAAAUUUAGUUACGCAUACUUAUAAUUGAAAUCCAAGAAAAUAUCAUUAAGAAGAAAAGAACGAAAACACCAGAAAGUUGGAAAACCCAAAACCCUAGCAAUUGCUCUCCACAAUGCAAAGUUCAAAAGUGAAAAAGAAGUCCAAAUUUCCUUGUGAGAAAGAGCUUAAAUACCCCUUAAAACCUAGCUGCCAAUGUACAGCUUUUCUAUCCCCACAAGGAAACUAAUUAAAAUAAAAUAAUACUAGGAAAUAAAGUCCAAAUUGGAAUAGGAGAAUCUGCCCAAAACCUGCCCCGCCACGUUUUGGCCCCAAAUCUCCUCCAAAUCUGGCCCAAUAUAGGUUGUUUUAAAGAUAAAAAUGUUCUGAACACUUCUCUAGAAGGCCAUGAACCCAUCCGAGGUCAUCUUGGGCUCCAAAAAUGCAAUAAAAGCCCAACACGUCAUUAUUCCAGCACCGCGCACUGCUCCUUUAUUUUAUUGCCAGAAAAUAACUGCUUGGAAGAAAAAUCUGAAAUUUUGAUACGAUCAAGCUAAGUGACUCACGAACGUCCUCCAACUAGAAUUACUCCAAAAUUCGUCCAUUGGUUAUGUUUUGCUCCAGAGAGAGUCGAAAGUCCUAUAUUGGAAAUAUAAUUCGAAGUAUCAAAAUUCUUCCAAAAUAUUAACCAAAAUAUACUAAGAAUGAGGUUAAAUAUAUAAUAUAAAAUAUGUCCAUCAAAAUACCCCCAAACUUAGUUUUUGCUUGUCCUCAAGCGAAACAAGACUCAAACAAAAAUAAAACUUAACAGAUUAGACAUCUGGCUAACACUUAACCAGGACAAAAUUUCCACCGUCAAGUUGCAAUCCAUAGAAAAUUUUAAAAACUAGAACAUCCUUUCAAUAGAUCCAAGUAAUCCCACCACAGAGUCUAAGCUAUUUAGACUCAAUUAGAAAAGAAUUCACAAACUUCCUUCAGUGUAAAGUGAACCAUCAUGGUUAAGGAGACUCGACUAAAUCCCUUACCUCUCAUCCCUUUUAUUCAUACUUCACACUCCACACUUUUUUUUUUUUCCUCUUUUCGUUUUUGUUUUUGUUUUUUUUGUUUUUGUUUUUUUUUUGUUUUUUUGUUUUUGUUUUUUUAUAGUAACAGUAGUGGUUGUGCAAUGUUGGUUCCCUUAAGCUUUCGAUCCAACCGUGUAGCAAGCUUUAGGUCAAUGUCUCCCAAACCACUCGGGUUUUAGGGCACUAGGUGUAGAACACCCUAAGGACUUAUUAACUCAAGCUGAAAAGGCUACGAAACCAACUAACCACCCUACCUCAUGCCAAAACUCUACCGUUUGUCUCGAGAAUCACUGCUGAUUAGGCAGGACUGGCUCGGUUACUAGCAAAGCUUCGGGUGAGGCAAUUAUUACUUUAUAACACAUACUAACUUUAUUUAUAUUGAACAGAAAUUAAAACACACUUGGACAAAAAGUAAGUAUUACAAUCUCACUCCCCAAAAACCAUGUUGAUGUGAUGUGCAAAUUUCAAAGUAUAAUUCAUGAAUUAGUGUCUAAGCAACAAUAAAUAGAAAAGACUCUAUUGUGGGAUUGAUCUUCACCAUGUCCAUUUGUUCUAACGUUUAAAAUAAUCUAUCUAUGGAUAUUAACUUAAAAACGAAAUUUUUUAAACAAGACUCAAAAAAUGAAAAAUAUAAAAUUUACUUUCCCACCCCCAAACUUAAAUCACACUUUGUCCUCAAGGUGUGGAAAAUAAACAAAGGAAACAACUAAAGAAGUAAUUAGGAGAGAAAAAUAAAAAACUAAAAAGAAAAGAAAAGAACAUAAAACAUAAACAGAAAAAAGUAAAAGAGAAAAAUAAAAAACGAAAUAAAAAAAAUGAACACACCAGGGAUGCGGAGGUGACGCUGCGGUGAUUCGAAGGCAUGACCUGUAGCUAGGAUGCGAAGAGCGCUGACCCACAGCCCAAGUCCACACAUGUGUCAAAUAUUGGCAACGGCUGCAAUAUAACCUGGUGCAUCCGCUGCAUGUGUCAUUUGAAAACAAAUUGGAUCCCCUUCGUCUAACCUCGUGUCCAGAGCCAACAAGCUCGCCUUUGGCCAUUCCCAGCUCGGAUUGUAAAUUACAAAAGACGCUUUUGUAUUGCACUUAUUGUCAACCCAUCCAUCUCCACCCUCUCCCUUUGUUAUCUCUAGCAAGAACUCAAGAGCCUUGGCUAUCUUUCAGAGCAUAGUCAUGUGGGUUCAUCUGUGUGAGGGUGCCAGAUCCAGAAAACCUUCAACAAAAUCAAAAUCACCAUCCGCUGCGGCUUCGUCGAAGAGACAAUCGGAUCCUCACCGAGAUUCGUCCCAACUCCGACCCCAACGACUCGGAUGAGCUGACCCAGACCGAGUUCAACCCGAACACCACAUACACUCGGAGUUCCUGAGCUUGGUUAACGGUAAGCUUCGCGUUGUGCUCGUAACUGGGUCUCAGUGUGGGUAUUUUUGUGUUGAAAGUAAUUAAGAACAAGAAUGAUUAUUGCAGACUUCGUUGCCUUGUUCUGAGAUACUCAUCCUCGUCUGUUUUCAUCAGCUUCAAUUUUAGAGUUGCAUCAACCUUGGAAAUAAUGCGUGGAGACUUGCGGAUUUCAGCGAGCAAGUCAAUCUUCAAGUUGGGAGUAGGUAUAAUAUCGAAUCCCUGCAAGUCUUUUCUUUUUUUUUUUUCUUUUUUUUUUUUGUAGAUCUGCAUUAAUUCAUGGGUCUUUCUGGAUUGUGAGAAUUUCUACUUAUUUGUGUCUUUUGGUUGGUUCUGAUAGCGAUACUCAGUUGUGUGGUGUUUGGCUAUGUGAUGUAAACUGAGCUGCAAAAAAAAUGAACUUCUCAAAUUAUAUAUAUGUGCUGGAUCUGCAACAGCUUCCCCCAAACUUGCAUCUUUGAGUGAGCUCAUCUGAAUUACUUUAACUUCCAGUAUAGUGUAGAUGUGGUGAUGUUAAUGUAGACUUGCUGCUGGGUGCAUGAUUCCAGCUGCUGCUGGGUGCAAGAUUCCAGCUGCUACUGGGUGCAAGAUUCCAGUAUAGGAUUUUCUGUUUUUGAUGCUUGCUGCUGAUGGUUGUGUCCUGCAUUGAGUCAAUUAUGUGUUAGGAAUAGAAAGAAAAUAGAAACAACUAGAUAAAGAAAACAACAAUUUUUUUUUUAUUUUUUAUUUUGUUUUUUCGAAAAUAAAAGAAGUAAAGAGUUUAGAAAAAUUGGGUCGCCUCCCAAUAAGCGCUUUAUUUUAAGUCUGUAGCUGGACUUUGCAGAAGCCUGGUGGUCAAAUCACUGGUUCCUUCAGAGUCAAAGACUCGGCUGCAAUGUCAAACGGUGUCUCCACGUAGGGUUUCAGCCUAUGACCAUUCACCUUGAAUGUGUUGCCUUUAUCUUCAUUAGUGAUUUGAACUGCUCCAUGAGGAAAAACUUGAGUCACUAGGUAGGGUCCAGUCCAACGAGAUUUUAAUUUCCUUGGAAACAACUUGAGCCUUGAACUAAAUAAUAGAACCUUUUGCCCUGGCUGAAAUUCCUUCCGUAAAAUUUGACUGUCAUGAAAUGCAUUAGUUCUUUCCUUGUAGAUGCGAGAACUAUCAUAAGCACCUUGACGAAUUUCCUCUAGCUCAUUUAACUGCAAUUUCCGCUUUUCCCCAGCUGAGUCAUAUGCAAAAUUUAACUCUUUAAUGGCCCAGUAAGCUUAUGCUCCAGCUCCAUAGGUAGAUGACAGGCUUUCCCAUAAACAGUCGGAAUGGUGACAUCCCAAUAGGAGUUUUAUAAGCUGUCCUGUAUGCCCACAAAGCAUCAUUUAGUUUGAAACUCCAAUCCUUGCGUGUAGAGCUCACUGUUUUCUCCAAAAUACGCUUUAUUUCUCUGUUUGAAACUUCAACUUGACCAGAUGUCUGUGGGUGGUAUGGUGUAGCCACGCGAUGAUUAAUCCCAUAUUUUGCAAGUAGGUUAGCAAAUGGUUUAUUAAUAAAAUGCUUCCCCCCAUCACUAAGAAUAACACGCGGAAUUCCAAAACGUGGAAAUAUAACCCCCUAGAGGAACUUCAGGACAACUGAUCCUUGAUUAGUUGGUGCUGCAAUGGCCUCGACCCACUUUGAAACAUAUUCCACAGCCACUAAAAUAUAUUGGUGCCCGUUAGAAGAUGGGAAUGGUCCCAUGAAAUCAAUACCCCAAACAUCAAAUAGUUCAACAAUUAGGAUACUUUGCUAGGGCAUCUCAUUCCUUUUGGAUUGAUUGCCGACCCUUUGACACCUAUCACAUGCCUUGCACCAAUUCUGUGAAUCUCUAAAAAGUGUUGGCCAAAAUAACCCACUCUGUAGGAUUUUCUCUGCUGUCCUUUUCUGCCCAAAAUGUCCUCCACAAGCGUAGUGAUGAGCAAACUUUAAAACACUUUCCUGUUCAGCCUCCGGAAUACACCUGCGAAUAAUCUGGUCUGCACAAUACUUGUAUAAGUACGGUUCAUCCCAGAAAUAGUGCUUUACAUCAGAUAAAAACUUCUUUUUCUGUUGGUAGGAAAAAUCUGGAUGCACCACACCCUUAGCCAAAUAAUUGACAAUAUCUGCAAACCAAGGUGUGUCAAUUUUGACAGCAAAUAGCUGUUCAUCUAGGAAACUUUCACUCAAUGGUAGAGAAUAUGCCUCUGUAGCUGCUGGAAUAAUUAAUCUAGAUAAAUGAUCAGCCACAACAUUCUCACUGCCCUUCUUGUCUUUAAUCUCUAAGUCAAAUUCUUGAAGUAAAAGAACCCAACGAAUCAAUCUAGGCUUUGCAUCCUUCUUAGACAACAAGUAUUUUAGUGCAGCAUGAUUCGUAUAGACAAUUAUUUUAGCCCCAACCAAAUAAGACCGAAAUUUCUCUAGUGCGAACACAACUGCCAACAAUUCCUUCUCUGUAGUUGCAUAGUUAAGCUGUGCAUCAUUGAUAGUACGACUUGCAUAAUAGAUGACAUGGGGAAGCUUAUCUUUUCGCUGCCCUAAAACUGCCCCAACACCAUAAUCUGACGCAUCACACAUUAGUUCAAAUGGUAAAUCCCAAUUUGGUGCAGCAAUGAUGGGUGCCGAAGUUAAGAGUGCUUUCAACUUGUUGAAUGCUUCUAAACAAGCCUUAUCAAAAUUAAAUGGUGCAUCCUUAGCCAAUAAAGUGCACAAAGGUCGACUAAUCUUGGAGAAAUCCUUGAUGAACCGACGAUAAAAACCUGCGUGUCCUAAGAAGGACCUCACACCUUUUACUGAUGUAGGAGGUGGCAGCUUUGCAAUAACUUCAAUCUUUGCUUUGUCAACCUCAAUGCCUUUGCUAGAAAUUGAAUGACCCAAGACAAUUCCCUGUUCAACCAUGAAAUGACACUUUUCCUAGUUUAGCACUAAAUUCGUCGCUUGACAUCUCUGAAGAACUAAUGAUAAAUUUUGUAAAACUUCCCCAAAAAUAGAAAAAUCAUCCAUAAAAACUUCCACAAUAUUUUCGACCAAGCCAGAAAAAAUACUCAUCAUACAAUGUUGAAACGUAGCAGGUGCAUUGCAUAAUUCGAACGGCAUCCUCCGAUAAGCAUAAGUACCAAAUGGACAAGUGAAAGUAGUCUUCUCUUGAUCCUCUAGUGCGAUUGGAAUCUAAUUAUACCCAGAAUACCCAUCAAGAAAACAGUAAAAAGCUCGCCCAGCCAACCUUUUUAACAUCUGGUCAAUAAAAGGCAAUGGAAAAUGGUCUUUUCACGUCCCAGUGUUAAGCUUCCGAUAAUCUACACACAUUCUCCAACCCGUAGUCAAUCGUGUAGGAACUAACUCAUUAUUAACAUUUUUCACCAUUGUAAUACCGGUCCGUUUAGGCACAACUUGAGUAGGGCUAACCCAUUUACUGUCAGAAAUAGGAUAAAUCAUACCUGCAUCAAGUAAUUUCAUAACCUCUGUUCUGACCACCUCUUUCAUAAUUGGGUUAAGGCGGCGUUGAGCAUCAACUGUUGGCUUCACGUCGUCUUCCAUUAAUAUUCCGUGCAUACAUAGUGCUGGGCUGAUUCCCUUGAUGUCCGCAAUUGUCCAUCCCAAUGCAUCUUGAUAUUUUCUCAACACACGAAGCAAUUUAUCUUCCUCUGUUGGUGUUAAAUCCGCUGCAAUUAUAACUGGCAGCGUCUCUACAGCUCCUAACUAUGCAUAUUUAAGAUGUUGUGGUAAAGGCUUCAUGAUGUUCCCCAAGUUUUGAACUCAAUCCGAUAUGAAAUGGAGUGGAUGGUGUAAUGCAUAGUUCUAGAGAUUGGAUUUCACUCAAAACAAGCCAAAUGACUCCUCCCACCGUAUUAUGAUGUUCCCCAAGUUUUGGACACAAUCCGAUAUCGACUAGUCCAUGAAAUUGGGCAAUUCAAGUUUGUACGAAGUUCGUUCUGAAAUUUAAUGGUUGGUGUAUUGCAUAGUUUUAGCCAUUGGAUUUCAGUCAAAACUCGCCAAAUGACUCCUCCCACCAUAUUAUGAUGUUCCCCAAGUUUUGGACUCAAUCCGAUAUCUAUUGGUCCAUGAAAUUGGACAAUUCAGGUUCGUACGAAGUUCAUUUUGAAAUGGAGUGGUUGGGGUAUCGCUUAGUUCUAUAGAUUGGAUUUCACUCAAAACCCACCAAAUGACUCCUCCCACCAUUUUAUGAUGUUCCCCAAGUUUUGGACUCAAUACAAUAUCAAUUCGUCCAUGAAAUUGGACAAUUCAGGUUCGUACGAAGUUCGUUAUGAAAUGGUGUGGUUGUUGUAUUGCAUAGUUAUAGCGACUGGAUUUCACUAAAAACUUCAAAAAUGACUCCUCCCAAAACAUUAUGAUGUUCCCCAAGUUUUGGACUCAAUCCGAUUUCGAUUGUUCCAUGAAAUUGGACGAUUAAGGUACAUACGAAGUUCAUUAUGUAAUGGAGUGGUUGGUGUAUUGCAUAGUGUUAGCCACUGGAUUUCACUCAAAACUCACCAAAUGACUCCUCCCACCAUAUUAUGAUGUUCCCCAAGUUUUGGGCUCAAUCCGAUAUCGAUUGGUCCAAGAAAUUGGACUAUUCAUUUUUGUACAAAGUUCGUUCUAAAAUGGAGUGGUUGGUGUAUUGCAUAGUUCUGGAGAUUGGAUUUCACUCAAAACCCACCAAAUGACUCCACCCACCAUAUUAUCAUGUUCCCCAAGAUUCGGACUCAAUCCGAUAUCGAUUGGUCCAUGAAAUUGGACAAUUCAGGUUCGUACGAAGUUCGUUAUGAAAUGUGGUGGUUGUUGUAUUGCAUAGUUUUAGCCAUUGGAUUUCCUUCAAAACUAACCAAAUGACCCGUCCCACCAUAUUAUGUUGUUCCCUUUAAGGUUCGUACGAAGUUCAUUCUGAAAUGCAGUGGUUUGUGUAUUGCAUUGGAUUUCACUCAAAACUCACAAAAUUAGUCCUCCCACAACAUUAUGAUGUUCCCCAAGUUUUGGACUUCAUCCGAUAUCGAUUGGUCCACAAAAUCGGACAAUUCAGGUUCGUACAAAAUUCGUUCUGAAAUGGAGUGGUUGUUGUAUUCCAUAGUUUUGGCCAUUGGAUUUCACUGAAAACUCACCAAAUGACUCCUCCAACAAUAUUAAGAUGUUCUCCAAGUUUUGGACUCAAUCCGAUAUCGAUUGGUCGACGAAAUUGGACAAUUCAGGUUCGUACAAAGUUCGUUAUGAAAUGGAGUGGUUGUUGUAUUGCAUAGUUUUAGCCAUUGGAUUUCGCUCUAAACUCACCAAAUGACUCCUCCCACCACAUUAUGUUGUUCCCUAUGUUUUGGACUCAAUCGGAUAUUGAUCGGUCCGUGAAAUUGGACAAUUCAGGUUCGUAUGAAGUUCGUUUUGAAAUGGAGUGGUUGGUGUAUUCCAUUGUUUUAGCCAUUGGAUUUCACUCAAAACUCACAAAAUGACCCCUCCCACAACAUUAUGUUGUUCCCCAAGUUUUGGACUCAAUUCGAUAUGGAUUGGUCUAUGAAAUUGGACAAUUCAGGUUUGUACGAAGGUCGUUAUGAAAUGCAGUGGUUGGUGUGUUGCAUAGUACUAGAGAUUGGAUUUCACUGAAAACCCACCAAAUGACUCGUCCCACUAUAUUAUGAUGUUCCCCAAGUUUUGGACUCAAUCCGAUAUCCAUUGGUUCAUGAAAUCGGACAAUUCAGGUUCGUACGAAGUUCGUUAUGAAAUGGAAUGGUUGGUGUAUUGCAUAGUUUUCGCCAUUGGAUUUCACUCAAAACUCACCAAAUGACUCCUCCCCCCAUAUUAUGACGUUCUCUAAGUUUUGGACUCAAUCCGAUAUCGAUUGGUCCAUGAAAUCGGAUAAUUCAGGUUCGUACGAAGUUCAGUCUAAAAUAGAGUGGUUGGUGUAUUGAAUUGUUUUAGCCACAGGAUUUCACUCAAAACUCAGAAAAUGACUCCUCCCAUAGCAUUAUGAUGUUCCCCAAGUCUUGGACUCAAUCCGAUAUCGAUUGGUCCGUCAAAUUGGACAAUUCAGGUUCGUAUGAAGUUCAUUUUGAAAUGGAGUAGUUGGUGUAUUACAUAGUUCUAGAGAUUGGAUUUCACUCAAAACCCACCAAAUGACCUCUCCCACAACAUUAUGAUGUUCCCCAAGUUUUGGACUCAAUCCAAUAUCGAUCGGUCCAUGAAAUCGGACAAUUCAGGUUCGUACAAAGUUCGUUUUGAAAUGGAGUGAUUGUUGUAUUGCAUAGUUUUAGACAUUGGAUUUCACUCAAAACUCACCAAAUGACUCCUCCCACCAUAUUAUGUUGUUCCCUAUGUUUUGGACCCAAUCCGAUAUCGAUCAAUCCAUGAAAUCGGAUUUAGGUUCGUAUGAAGUUCAUUCUGAAAUGGAGUGGUUGGUGUAUUGCAUAGUUUUAGCCAUUGGAUUUCAUUAAAAACUCACCAAAUGAGUCCUCCCACCAUAUUGUGAUGUUCCCUAAGUUUUGGACUCAAUCCGAUAUCGAUUAGUCCAUGAAUUCGGACAAUUCAGCUCGUACGAAGUUCGUUCUGAAAUGGAGUGGUUGGUGUAUUGCAUCGUUUUAGCCGUUGGACUUCACUCAAAACUCACAAAAUGACUCAUCCCACAACAGUACGAUGUUCCCCAAGUUUUGGACUUAAUCCGAUAUCGAUUGGUCCAUGAAAUCGGACAAUUCAGCUUCGUACGAAGUUCAUUAUGAAAUGGAGUGGUUGGUGUACUGCAUAGUUUUAGACAUUGGACUUCACUCAAAACCCACCAAAUGACUCCUCCCACAAUAUUAUGAUGUUCCCCCAGUUUUGGAUUCAAUCCGAUAUCGAUUGGUCCAUGAAAUCGGACCAUUCAGGUUCGUACAAAGUUCGUUAUGAAAUGGAGUGGUUGGUGGAUUGCGUAGUUUUAGCCUUUGGAUUUCACUCGAAACUCACCAAAUGAGUCCUCCCACCAUAUUAUGAUGUUGACCACAUUUUGGGCUCAAUCCGAUAUCGAUUGCCAAUGAAAUUGGACAAUUCAAGUUCGUACGAAGUUUGUUCCGUAAGUGGUGUGGUUGGUGUAUUGCAUAGUUUUCGCAAUUGGAUUUCACUAAAAACUCACCAAAUGACUCCGCCCACCAUAUUGUGAUGUUCCUCAAGUUUUUGACACAAUCCGAUAUCGAUUGGUCCAUAAAAUCGUACAAUUCAGGUUCGUACGAAGUUAAUUCUGAAAUGGAGUGGUUGGUGAAUUGCAUAGUUCUAGAGAUUGGAUUUCACUGAAAACCCCCAAAAUGACUCUUCCCACUAUAUUAUGAUGUUCUCCAAGUUUUGGAAUGAAUCCGAUAUCGAUUGGUCCAUGAAAUCGGACAAUUCAGGUUCGUACGAUGUUCGUUUUGAAACGGAGUGGUUGGUGUAUUGCAUAGUUUUGGCAAUUCGAAUUUACUUAAAACACACCAAAUGACUCCUCCCUCAAUAUUAUGAUGUUCCCCAAGUUUUGGACUCAAUCCGAUAUCAAUCGGUCUGUGAAAUUGGGCUAAUCAUAUUUGUACGAAGUUCGUUCUCUAAUGGAGUGGUUGAUGUAUUUCAUAGUUUUUGCUUUUAGCUUUCACUCAAAACCCAACAAAAGAAUCCUCCCACUAUAUUAUGAUGUUCCCCAAGUUUUGGACUCAAUCCGAUAUCAAUUGGUCCAUGAAAUCGGACAAUUCAGGUUGUACAAAGUUCGUUACGAAAUGGAGUGGUUGGUGUAUUGCAUAGUUUUAGCCAUUGGAUUUCACUCAAAAGUCACCAAAUGACUCCACCAACCAUAUCAUGAUGUUCCACAAGUUUUGGACACUAUCCGAUAUCGAUUAGUCCAAGAAAUCCAAAAAUUCAGGUUCGUACGAAGUUCUUUCUGAAAUGGAGUGGUUGGUGUAUUGUAUAGAUCUAGAGAUUGGAUUUCACUCAAAACCAUCCAAAUCACUCCUCCCACAAUAUUUUCAUGUUUCCCAAGUUUUGGACUCAAUCCGAUAUCGAUUGGUCCAUGAAAUCGGACAAUUCAUUUUAGUACGAAGUUUGUUCUGAAAUUGAGUGGUUGUUGCAUUUCAUAGUUUUAGCCAUUGGAUUUCACUCAAAACUCACCGAAUGACUCCUCCCAUCAUAUUAUGUUGUUUCCCAAGUUUUGGACUCAAUCCAAUAUCGAUUGGUCCAUGAAAUUGGACAAUUCAGGCCCGUACAAAGUUCGUUCUGAAAUGGAGUGGUUAGUGUAUUGCAUAGUUCUAGAGAUUGGAUUUCACUGAAAACCCACCAAAUGACGCCUCCCACUAUGUUAUGAUGUUCCCUAAGUUUUGGACUCCAUCCCAUAUUGAUUUGUCCAUGAAAUUGGACAAUUCAUGUUCGUACGAAGUUCGUUAAGAAAUCGAGUGGUUGGUGUAUUGCAUAGUAUUAGCCACUGGAUUUCACUCAAAACUCACCAAAUGACUCCUCCCACCAUAUUAUGACGUUCCCUAAGUUUGGACUCAAUCUGAUAUCGAUUAGUCCAUGAAAUCGGACAAUUCAGGUUCGUACGAAGUUCAUUCUGAAAUGGAGUGGUUGGUGUAUUGGAUAGUUCUAGAGAUCGGAUUUCACUAAAAAAAAUACCAUAUGACUCCUCCCACCAUAUUAUGAUGUUUCCCAAGUUUUGGACUCAAUCCAAUAUCGAUUGAUCCAUGAAAUUGGACAAUUCAGGCCCGUACGAAGUUAGUUCUGAAAUGGAGUGGUUAGUGUAUUGCAUAGUUCUAGAGAUUGGAUUUCCCUGAAAACCCACCAAAUGACGCCUCCCACUAUGUUAUGUUGUUCCCUAAGUUUUGGACUCCAUCCCAUAUUGAUUUGUCCGUGAAAUUGGACAAUUCAUGUUCGUACGAGAAACCGAGCGGUUGGUGUAUUGCAUAGUUUUAGCCACUGGAUUUCACUCAAAACUCACCAAAUGACUCCUCUCACCAUAUUAUGACGUUCCCUAAGUUCUGGACUCAAUCUGAUAUCGAUUAGUCUAUGAAAUCGGACAAUUCAGGUUCGUACGAAGUUCAUUCUGAAAUAGAGCUGGUGUAUUGCAUUGUUUUAUCCGUUGGAUUUCGCUCAAAAUUCACGAAAUGACUCCUCCCACAACAUUAUGAUGUUCGCCGAGUUUUGGACUCAAUCCGAUAUCGAUCGGUCCAUGAAAUUGGACAAUUCAGGUUCGUACGAAGUUCGUUAUGAAAUGGAGUGGUUGUUGUAUUGCAUAGUUUUAGCCAUUGGAUUUCGCUCAAAACUCAGCAAAUGACUCCUCCCACCAUAUUAUGUUGUUCCCUAAGUUUUGGACUCAAUUCGAUAACGAUCGGUCCAUGAAAUCAGAUUUAGGUUCGUACGAAGUUCGUUCUGAAAUGGAAUGGUUAGUGUAGUGCAUUGUCUUAGCCAUUGGAUUUCUCUGAAAACUCACAAAAUGACUCCUCCCACAACAUUAUGAUGUUCUCCAAUUUUUAGACUCACUCUGAUAUCGAUUGGUCUAUGAAAUUGGACAAUUCAGGUUCCUACGAAGUUCGUUAUGAAAUGGAGUAGUCGGUGUAUUGUAUAGUUCUAGAGAUUGGAUUUCACUCAAAACCCACCAAAUGACACCUCCAACAAUAUUAUGAUGUUCCCCAAGUUUUGGACUCAAUCCGAUAUCGAUUGUUCCAUGAAAUAGGACAAUUCAGGUUCGUACAAAGUUCGUUCUGAAAUGGAGUGGUUGUAUUCCAUAGUUUUAGCCAUUGGAUUUCACUGAAAACUCACCAAAUGACUCCUCCAACAAUAUUAUGAUGUUCUCCAAGUUUUGGACCCAAUCCGAUAUUGAUUGGUCCAUGAAAUUGGACAAUUCAGCUUCGUACGAAGUUCGUUAUGAAAUUGAGUGGUUGUUGUAUUGCAUAGUUCUAGCCAUUGGAUUUCGCUCAAAACUCACCAAAUGACUCCUCCCACCAUAUUAUGUUGUUUCCUAUGUUUUGGACUCAAUCCGAUAUCGAUUGGUCCAUGAAAUCGGAUAAUUCAGGUUCAUACGAAGGUCGUUAUGAAAUGGAGUGGUUGGUGUGUUGCAUAGUUCUAGGGAUUGGAUUUCAUUGAAAACCCACCAAAUGACUCCUCCCGCUGUAUUAUGAUGUUCCCCAAGUUUUGGACUCAAUCCGAUAUCGAUUUGUCCAUGAAAUCGGACAAUUCAGGUUCGUACGAAGUUCGUUAUGAAAUGGAGUGGUUGGUGUAUUGCAUAGUUUUGGCCAUUGGAUUUCACUCAAAACUCACCGAAUGACUCCUCCCACCAUAUUAUGAUGUUCCCUAUGUUUUGGACUCAAUCCGAUAUCGAUUGGUCCAUGAAAUCGGACAAUUCAGGUUCAUACGACGUUCGUUCCAAAAUGGAGUGGUUGUUGUAUUGCAUUGUUUUAGCCAUUGGAUUUCAUUCAAAACUCACAAAAUAACGCUUCCCACAACGUUAUGUUGUUCCCCUAGUUUUGGACUCAAUUCGAUAUCGAUUGACCCCUGAAAUUGGACAAUUCAGGUUAGCACGAAGUCAGUUACAAAAUGGAGUGGUUGGUGUACUGCAUAGUUUUAGCCAUUGGAUUUCACUCAAAUCCCACCAAAUGACUCCUCCCACAAUAUUAUGAUGUUCCCCCAGUUUUGGACUCAAUCCAAUAUCGAUUGGUCCACGAAAUCGGACAAUUCAAGUUCGUUCAAAGUUCGUUAUGAAACGGAGUGGUUGGUGUACUGCAUAGUUUUAGCCAUUGGGUUUCACUCAAAACUCACCAAAUGACUCCUCCCACCAUAUUAUGAUGUUCCAUAAGUUUUGGACUCAAUCCGAUAUCGAUUGGUCUAUGAAAUCGGACAAUUCAGGUUCGUACGAAGUUUGUUAUGAAAUGGAGUGGUUGGUGUAUUGCGUAGUUCUAGAGAUUGGAUUUCACUGAAAACCAACCAAAUGACUCCUCCUACUAUAUUAUGAUGUUCCCCCAGUUUUGGACAGAAGGUGAUAUCGUUUGGUUCAUGAAAUCGGACAAUUCAGGUUCGCACGAAGUUCGUUAUGAAAUGGAGUGGUUAGUGUACUGCAUAGUUUUAGCAAUUGGAUUUCACUCAAAACUUACCAAAUGACUCCUCCCACCAUAUUAUGAUGUUGACCAAGUUUUGGGCUCAAUCCGAUAUUGAUUGAGCCAUCAAAUUGGACAAUUCAAUUUUGUACGAAGUUCGUUAAUCAAAUGGAGUUGUUGGUGUAUUGCAUAGUUUUAGGGAUUGGAUUUCACUCAAAACUCACCAAGUGACUCCUCCCACCAUAUUAUGAUGUUGACCAAGUUUUGGGCCCAAUCUGAUACCGAUUGAAGUAUGAAAUCGGACAAUUCAAUUUCGUACGGAUUUCGUUCAUCAAAUGGAGUUGUUGGUGUAUUGCAUAGUUUUAGCAAUUGGAUUUCUCUCGAAACUUACUAAAUGACUCCUCCCAUCAUAUUUAGAUGUUGACCAAGUUUUGGGCUAAAUCUGAUAAUUGAAUCAAGAAAUCGGACAACUCAAGUUCGCACGAAGUUCGUUCUGUAAAUGGAGUGGUUGGUUUAUUGCAUACUUUUAGCGAUUGGAUUUCACGAAAAACUCACCAAAUUUCUCCUCCCACCAUAUUAUGAUGUUGACCAUGUUUUGGGCUCAAUCCGAUAUCGAUUGUCCCAAGAAAUCGGAUAAAAUUCAAGUUCAUAGGAAGUUUGUUCCGUAGAUGGACUGGUUGGUAUAUUGCAUAGUUUUAGAGAUUGGAUUUCACUCAAAACCCACCAAAUGACUCCUCCCACCAUAUUAUGACUUGACCAAGUUUUGGGCUCAAUCCGAUAUCGAUUGAACCAUGAAAUCGGACAAUUCAAUUUCGUACGAAGUUCAUUCAUCAAAUAGAGUUGUUGGUGAAUUGCAUAAUUUUAGAGAUUCGAUUUCACUGAAAACUCACCAAAUGACUACUCCCACCAUAUUAUGAUGUUAACAAAGUUUUGAGCUCAAUCCGAUAUCUAUUCCCAACGAAAUUGGACAAUUCAAGUUCGUACGAAGUUCGUUCAGUAUAUGGAGUGGUUGGUGUAUUGUAAAGUUUUAGCGAUUGGAUUUCACUCAAAACUCACUCAAAGACUCCUCCCACAAUAUUAUGAUGUUCACCAAGUUUUGGGUUCAAUCCGAUAUCCAUUGCCCAAUGAAAUUGGAUAAUUCAUGUUCGUACGAAGUUCGUUCUGUAAAUGGAGUGGUUGGUGUAUUGCAUAGUUUUAGCGGUUGGAUUUCACUCAAAACUCACCAAAUGACCCGUCCCACCAUAUUAUGAUGUUGACCAUGUUUUGGGCCCAAUUCGAUAUCGAUUGAACCAUGAAAUCGGACUAUUCAAUUUCGUACGAAGUUUGUUCAUCAAAUGGAGUUGUUGGUGUAUUGCAUAGUUUUACUUACUGGAUUUCACUCAAAACACACCAAAUGACUCCUCCCACCAUAUUAUGAUGUUGACCAAGUUUUGGGCUCAAUCCUGUAUCGAUUGAGAAAUGAAAUUAGACAAUUAAAGUUCGUACGAAGUUCGUUCCGUAAAUGGAGUGGUUGGUGUAAUGCAUAGUUUUAGAAAUUGGAUUUUACUCAAAACCCACCAAAUGACUCCUCCCACCAUAUGAUGUUGACCAAGUUUUGGGCUCAAUCCAAUAUCGAUUGCCCAAUGAAAUUCGACAAUUGAAGUUUGUAAGAAGUUUGUUCCGUAAAUGGAGUGGUUGGUGUAUUGCAUAGUUUUGGUAAUUGGAUUUCACUCAAAACUCACCAAAUGACUCCUCCCACCAUAUUAUGAUGUUGACCCAGUUUUGGGCCCAAUCCGAUAUCGAUUGAACCAUGAAAUCAGACAGUUCAAUUUCGUACGAAGUUCGUUCAUCAAAUGGAGUUGUUGGUGUAUUGCAUAGUUUUGGUAAUUGGAUUUCACUCAAAACUCACCAAAUGACUCCUCCCACCAUAUUAUGAUGUUGACUCAGUUUUGGGCCCAAUCCGAUAUCGAUUGAACCAUGAAAUCGGACAGUUCAAUUUCGCACGAAGUUCGUUCAUCAAAUUGAGUUGUUGGUGUAUUGCAUAGUUUUAGCGAUUGGAUUUCACUCAAAACUCACCAAAUGACUCCUCCCACCAUAUUAUGACGUUGACCAAGUUUUAGGCUCAAUUUGAUAUCGAUUGAACCAAGAUGUCGGAAAAUUCAGGUUCGUACGAAGUUCGUUCUGUAAUUGGAGUGGUUGGUGUACUGCAUACUUUUAGGGAUUCGAUUUCACUCAAAACUCACCGAACGACUCCUCCCACCAUAUUAUGAUAUUGACCAAGUUUUGGGCUCAAUCUGAUAUCGAUUGAACCAUGAAAUCGGACAAUUCAAGUUCGUACAAAGUUCGUUCAUCAAAUGGAGUUGUUGGUGUAUUGCAUAGUUUUAGCGAUUGGAUUUCUCAAAAAAAUCACCAAAUGACUCCUCCCACCAUAUUAUGAUGUUGACCAAGUUUUGGGCUCAAUCCGAUAUCGAUUGCCCAAUGAAAUGGGACAAUUCAAGUUCGUACGAAGUUCGUUCUGUAAGUGGAGUGGUUGGUGUAUUGCAUAGUUUUAGCAAUUGGAUUUCAUUCAGAACUCACCAAAUGACACCUCCCUCCAUAUUAUGAUGUUGAUUGACCAAGUUUUCUACUCAAUCCGAUAUCGAUUGAACCAAGAAAUCGGACAAUUCAAGUUCGUACGAAGUUCGUUCAUCAAAUGGAGUUGUUGGUGUAAUGCAUAGUUUUAGAGAUUGGAUUUCACUCAAAACUCACCAAAUGGCUCCUCCCACCAUAUUAUGAUGUUGACCAAGUUUUGGGCUCAAUCCGAUAUCGAUUGAGCCAAGAAGUCGGACAAUUAAGGUUCGUACGAAGUUCAUUAUGUAAUUGGAGUGGUUGGUGUACUGCAUAGUUUUAGGGAUUGGAUUUCACUGAAAACUCACCGAAUGACUACUCCCACCAUAUUAUGAUGUUGACCAAGUUUUGGGCUCAAUCCGAUAUCGAUUGAACUAAGAAAUCGGACAAUUCAAGUCCGUACGAAGUUCGUUCAUCAAAUGGAGUUGUUGGUGUAAUGCAUAGUUUUAGAGAUUGGAUUUCACUCAAAACUCUCCAAAUGACUCCUCCCACCACAUUAUGAUGUUGACCAAGUUUUGAGUUCAAUCCGAAAUCGAUUGCCCAAUGAAAUUGGACAAUUCAAGUUCGUACGACCUUUGUUCCGUAAAUGGAGUGGUUGGUGUAUUGCACUAUUUUAGUGAGUGGAUUUCAGUCAAAACCCACCAAAUGAGUCCUCCCACCAUAUUGUGAUGGUGACCAAGUUUUGGGCUCAAUUCGAAAUCGAUUGAACCAUGAAAUCAGACUAUUCAAUUUCAUACGAAGUUUGUUCAUCAAAUGGAGUUGUUGGUGUAUUGCAUAGUUUUAGCAAUUAGAUUUCUCCCAAAACUCACCAAAUGACUCCUCCCACCAUAUUAUGAUGUUGACCAAGUUUUGGGCUCAAUCCGAUAUCGAUUGAACCGAGAAAUCGUACAAUUCAGGUACGUACGAAGUUCGUUCUGUAAGUGGAGUGGUUGGUGUAUUGCAUAGUUUUAGCGAUUGGAAUUCAAUCAAAACUCACCAAAUGAAUCCUCCCACCAUAUUAUGAUGUUGACCAAGUUUUGGGCUCAAGCCGAUAUCGAUUGGACCAAGAAGUCGGACAAUUCAGGCUCGUACGAAGUUCGUCCCGUAAAUGGAGUGGUUGGUGUAUUGCAUAGUUUUAGCAAUUGGAUUUCAUUCGGAGCUCACCAAAUGACACCUCCCACCAUAUUAUGAUGUUGACCAAGUUUUCGGCUCAGUCCGAUAUCGAUAGAACCAAGAAAUCAGACAAUUCAAG